rfam:Ciona savignyi cont_34495, whole genome shotgun sequence.
GACCGCAUGGCCUAAUGGAUAUGGCGUGUGACUUCCAAUCAGAAGAUUGAGGGUUCGAGUCCCUCUGUGGUCU